rnacentral:rRNA from 1 species
CCUACGGGUGGCAGCAGUGGGGAAUAUUGCACAAUGGGCGCAAGCCUGAUGCAGCCAUGCCGCGUGUGUGAAGAAGGCCUUCGGGUUGUAAAGCACUUUCAGCGGGGAGGAAGGCGUUAAGGUUAAUAACCUUGGCGAUUGACGUUACCCGCAGAAGAAGCACCGGCUAACUCCGUGCCAGCAGCCGCGGUAAUACGGAGGGUGCGAGCGUUAAUCGGAAUUACUGGGCGUAAAGCGCACGCAGGCGGUCUGUCAAGUCGGAUGUGAAAUCCCCGGGCUCAACCUGGGAACUGCAUUCGAAACUGGCAGGCUAGAGCCUUGUAGAGGGGGGUAGAAUUCCAGGUGUAGCGGUGAAAUGCGUAGAGAUCUGGAGGAAUACCGGUGGCGAAGGCGGCCCCCUGGACAAAGACUGACGCUCAGGUGCGAAAGCGUGGGGAGCAAACAGGAUUAGAUACCCUAGUAGUC